AUAUAUAUAUAUGUAAGUAGAGAGUGCCUUGUUUUCAUAAAUACUCAUCAAUUAAAUUUGUAGAUCUAGCUUCUAUCAUUCAAUUGGUGUGCAAAUGGAAAUCUUUCAGCUGAUCGGCUCGAUUAUGAAGGGAGACAAUAUUCAACCACCGAAUCAGGUCCCGCGGGUUGAUUUUGGUUCACCGAAAAGUCGCAAUAUCAGGAGACUUGACCAACCGGCAGGGAAUAAGGGAAACAACAAACAAGGCUAUCCCAAACCAGAAAAGUUCCCCUCCUCCAAAUAAACAAUAUUUAUAUAUUAAGGAUAAAUUUUAUUUUGACCCUUUCAAUUUUAUCAUAUAAAGAAAAAUUGACAAAUGAGUUUUUAAUAUUAUUUUUCAUUAACAUUAAUUAAAUUUAUAACUAAGUCAAAACUGAAAGGGUUUAAAUGAAAUUUUUCUUACAUAUUAAUUAAUACAAAUUUACUAUCAUAAAAGAUAAGUGCCUAUUUUAGCAAAAUUUUAUAUAUAUAUAUAUAUAUAUGCAUAUAACUUUGUUAUAAUGGGUAGCCACUCCUACUAUGAUGUGGGUGUCACCAGACUCUCAAGGGCAAGAGAUUGAACUGUGUAUGCUCUAGAAGUUUUCUACUGGCUAAGCUUAUGCUAUUGAUUCUCGUAUGAAAUACUGUCUAAUUAUCUUUAGUAGAUAAAAAUUAUAUAUAUAUAUAUAUAUAUAUAUGUACAAAUGGACUUGGAACCUUGCGAUUGUAUAUAUAAAUGGAAUUUAUAAGCAUAUAAUAAAGCUAUCGAACUCCGGACAUCUGCCAGAGAUAUUUAGUUAAGGAUGAAAUAUUAUAUAUAUCUAAUUAUGUGCAUAUAAUUUUAUGCAUAAGGCAAUAUUUGUGAGUAUAUAAAUGUGGUUUGAGCCCCUCUCCUUGUCCGGUUUAAUUUUUAGAAUAAAAAUAAUUAUCCAAAAAAAAAAAAAAAGAAUCUUAGAAGGAUAAACAAAAAAUAAUUAAAAAAGAGCAGUGAAAUAGAAUAACUGCUUUUUUAGAUGAUAUGGAAUUCAGUUAUUAAUUUGAUAGGAACAAAGAUAGAAAAAUGGAGAUCUUCUUCCUCCAUGCAAUAUGUAUACUUCAAAUUAAUUAUUUUUUAUUUAUUUUUUAAUUGGAAGGUGAUAUAUAGUAUUCAUAAAAGUGAAAAUUUGUGUUUUAUAUAUCUUUGAAUUAAUUUAUAAUUUAGAAAUGUCAGAAUACUAUUUUUUAUUUUUAUCAUUUUCAAUAAUUUCUCAUUCUAAUAUCUUGAAUUCAAAAUAUGCAAAAGUAGUAUAAAUUGAAUCAAUAUUACUUAAUAAAUAUCAAAAUAUUUUCAGAUUUUUAAAAAAAAAUUAAUGAAAUUUCAUUAAUUUAUAAAUAAUUGGUGUCAUUUAAAGCUAGCUAAUUGAAAAUUUUAAUUAGGAAACCGAAGCGAAGUAUAUUGAAAGUUUCAUCAAAAUUGUAAAUAAUUGCCAUAUUCAACUGGUUCGACUUUUCCUUUUUUUGGGGUCCACAAGACCGGUUGGACUGGACCUCAGCAGUCAGCACCACGUUUAGAAAACAAACCGAACUCUAAACGUUUUAAAGUGGAUAUCCGAACCCGCACCGAGUCUGUGCAUAAAGGUGCUGACUUCAACCCAUUGGUAAUUUUAUUAACCAAUGGGUUUAAGGCUGCUGGAUCUAGCUACGGGGGCACAUCUAGUUCAAGGAAAGAGAAGGAAUAAUGUAUAUAAAUGGCCAUCCAUUAACGGGACUUCUUUCCAGUCCAAGCUUGCUUGUGUCAGCAUCUCCACCUCUUCUCAUCAUUGGCAUGCGAGACUUGGUCAUCCCUCAUCUAAAAUCCUCUAGCUUGUUUUGUUCUCAAAAUAAUUUUCCUGUUAACUCUGGUCAAUAUGCUUUUACAUUUUGUGAUUCUUGUCAAUGUAGUAAAAGUCAUAAACUACCUUUUGGCACUUCUUCUAUCACAAGUCCUCGUCCUUUAGAUUUAGUUUACACCGAUGUAUAGGGACCCUCUCCAAUACGCUCAAUGGAUGGUUUUUCUUACUAUGUUUUGUUUGUAGAUCAUUUCACCAA